GCGGGAGCAGCUGCUCCGAGACGAGUGUUUUGGGAAGAGCUGUGAAAGUGAAAGAAACAAACCCUCAGCCGAUGGCAGCGACCCCAACGCUGGAGCAAGGGGAGGCAGCUGCUGCCCACGCCGGAAUCCCACCAGCCUGCAGCCACGGUAGGCAAGAGCCUCGGGGAACAAUGAGGAGCCAGACCUGUUAGCUGCACAUACACAUACUCACGCCUGGGAGGACCCUGUGAGUGUGUGUGUGUAGGGGGGCGCUUAGGAAAUGAAUGGGAGGUGGAGUCAUGGCCAAAACUGUUGGAAAGAGAGCAAGAACACACACACACUCAUUCAUACACAUUCACAAGACGCACACAUACACACACUCACACACAUAAACACACAGUCAUGUACACACAUACACACACACAUGCACUCACACGCACACUCAGGUACAUACACUCACAUGCACACAUAUACACAAUACAUACACACUCACAUACACAUACACAUGUACACUCACACAGGCACAUACACUCACAUGCACACUUACACACACACCCCACACACACACAUACACGACUUUGCAGCCACUUCCUAACGGGAACAACUAAUUAGUGCCUGAGUGGGCUAGGCUAAAACCAACAGGCAAAGAUAGAAACAAAGAGACAAAGACUCAGACAACAGAGAAACAAAACAAAAGACAGAGGGAGAAAAACAGACACAGAAACGGAGCCAAAGACAGGAAAAGAGAGAGAGAAAAGGAGAAAGAGAACGACCCAGUGAGAGAAGUGUGCCCCGGCCACCAGGGCUGCCUCAUGGGAAUGGCUCAAUCAGGAUUUUACGAAGGAGCAAGUGAAAGG
rnacentral:lncRNA from 10 species